rnacentral:lncRNA from 1 species
UCAUUAGCAGUGUUUAAUUCAAAAUUACUCUUAAAAUUAUCUAAGCUGUUCUGCUGCUAUAAGAAUUUCCAGACACAGUUUUAACAGCUCAUAACUGUUCCCAAUUAAUAAGAUAAUUUGGCCAGAAUGUGCAGCUAUGUAUUUUGGCGAGAUUCGUAAUGAUGACCGAUGAUUUCAUUCGAGCGGUUGCGGUCUGCGGCUGUGGUCUCGACAGGCAAUACUAAUUAAUCGACGUGCAAGUCUCGCCAGAUCCCGUCGCCGAGUGACGCAGCACCUGUCACAACACCGCCUCAGUCACAACACACCCUUGCAGUAUAGCUUGAAUUAACAACUGCCAGUCAAUCAAUUCUGACUUAACUGCUGCAACAUACUUGAUAAGACUAAUUAAAAUUAUAUUUCUGUUGAAUAAGGAAAACACAAAGAUGUGUGAAUCAUACUCGGUAAGGGUCAUCGACAUUAUAAAACGGCAACUUGAACGCAAAAUUAAAAUGCGUUUACAGUGUGCAACGACGAUACGUCUGCGAUUAGCAAACCCUACAACAAAAUAAGAGCGUACGAGCAAUUCGCAACAUGUGAAGGAGCAAGUAGCCAACUGUGCAGGGAAAUGAUUACCGCUAUUUUAUCAAUUUGUAAUCGAAAAUAGUUCUUAACUAUGUAUUUAUUAUCCCAUUACAAACUUUGGUAUAAUGCUCUGUUCAAAUUAGAAAUGAUGACUUCCAACUUAAUCGACACAUAAUAUAGACACCGAUUA